GAGUUUGAUCAUGGCUCAGAUUGAACGCUGGCGGCAUGCCUUACACAUGCAAGUCGAACGGCAGCACGGGUGCUUGCACCUGGUGGCGAGUGGCGAACGGGUGAGUAAUACAUCGGAACAUGUCCUGUAGUGGGGGAUAGCCCGGCGAAAGCCGGAUUAAUACCGCAUACGAUCUGAGGAUGAAAGCGGGGGACCUUCGGGCCUCGCGCUAUAGGGUUGGCCGAUGGCUGAUUAGCUAGUUGGUGGGGUAAAGGCCUACCAAGGCGACGAUCAGUAGCUGGUCUGAGAGGACGACCAGCCACACUGGGACUGAGACACGGCCCAGACUCCUACGGGAGGCAGCAGUGGGGAAUUUUGGACAAUGGGCGAAAGCCUGAUCCAGCAAUGCCGCGUGAGUGAUGAAGGCCUUAGGGUUGUAAAGCUCUUUUACCCGGGAUGAUAAUGACAGUACCGGGAGAAUAAGCCCCGGCUAACUCCGUGCCAGCAGCCGCGGUAAUACGGAGGGGGCUAGCGUUGUUCGGAAUUACUGGGCGUAAAGCGUGCGCAGGCGGUUUGCUAAGACCGAUGUGAAAUCCCCGGGCUCAACCUGGGAACUGCAUUGGUGACUGGCAGGCUAGAGUAUGGCAGAGGGGGUAGAAUUCCACGUGUAGCAGUGAAAUGCGUAGAGAUGUGGAGGAAUACCGAUGGCGAAG
rnacentral:rRNA from 1 species